GAUGAACGCUGGCGGCGUGCCUAAUACAUGCAAGUCGAGCGAACAGACGAGGAGCUUGCUCCUCUGACGUUAGCGGCGGACGGGUGAGUAACACGUGGAUAACCUACCUAUAAGACUGGGAUAACUUCGGGAAACCGGAGCUAAUACCGGAUAAUAUAUUGAACCGCAUGGUUCAAUAGUGAAAGACGGUUUUGCUGUCACUUAUAGAUGGAUCCGCGCCGCAUUAGCUAGUUGGUAAGGUAACGGCUUACCAAGGCAACGAUGCGUAGCCGACCUGAGAGGGUGAUCGGCCACACUGGAACUGAGACACGGUCCAGACUCCUACGGGAGGCAGCAGUAGGGACUCUUCCGCAAUGGGCGAAAGCCUGACGGAGCAACGCCGCGUGAGUGAUGAAGGUCUUCGGAUCGUAAAACUCUGUUAUUAGGGAAGAACAAAUGUGUAAGUAACUAUGCACGUCUUGACGGUACCUACUCAGAAAGCCACGGCUAACUACGUG
rnacentral:rRNA from 1 species